rnacentral:rRNA from 1 species
ACGGGAGGCAGCAGUGGGGAAUAUUGCACAAUGGGCGCAAGCCUGAUGCAGCAACGCCGCGUGAAGGAAGAAGGUUUUCGGAUCGUAAACUUCUGUCCUUGGGGAAGAAACAAAUGACGGUACCCUUGGAGGAAGCCCCGGCUAACUACGUGCCAGCAGCCGCGGUAAUACGUAGGGGGCAAGCGUUAUCCGGAAUUAUUGGGCGUAAAGAGUACGUAGGUGGUUAUCUAAGCGCAGGGUGAAAGGCAAUGGCUUAACCAUUGUUAGCCCUGCGAACUGGACUACUUGAGUGCAGGAGGGGAAAGUGGAAUUCCUAGUGUAGCGGUGAAAUGCGUAGAUAUUAGGAGGAACACCAGUGGCGAAGGCGACUUUCUGGACUGUUACUGACACUGAGGUACGAAAGCGUGGGGAGCAAACAGGAUUAGAUACCCUGGUA